rnacentral:rRNA from 1 species
AGCAGCCGCGGUAAUUCCAGCUCCGAUAGCGUAUAUUAAAGUUGUUGCAGUUAAAAAGCUCGUAGUUGAAUCUCGGGGUCAGCAGGUCGGUCGUGCCUACGGUAUGCACUGGCCUUGCUGAUUCCUCCCUCUUGAUGAGCCGUAAUGCCAUUAAUUUGGUGUUGCGGGGAAUCAGGACUGUUACUUUGAAAAAAUUAGAGUGUUUAAAGCAGGCAAGCGCUUGAAUACAUUAGCAUGGAAUAAUGAAAUAGGACGUUCGAUCUUAUUUUGUUGGUUUCUAGGAUUGACGUA